CAGACAGCCAGCACAGGAAGUGGAUCUCGGGGACGAGAAGGGAUUAUUCAAAGACAGCGAGGCAUGACCACGUGUGGUGUUUGGAAGGCUUCAAGAAGGUAGAUGCGGCUGAAGUACAGUGAGGAGAGAGAGAGACUCAACCGGGGAGCAGAUUAGGAAGGCCCCGGCCAGCUGCGGUAAGAAAUUUGGGCUUUUCCUGAAUUGGAGGAACAAGGCAGUUGAGAGGAAGCUGGAUUUCGGAAGAAGAGUCGGCAAAUAUAGUUAAUGAACACUCUAAAAUACAUUAUUGAAACUUACCUGGCCUGGACAGAUCCUGACUCCUGUUACCAUCAGGAACCUGGUGAUCCCGGUGAGUAAAAUAAAGUAAGCAACUCCCUUUCCAGAAGGCACUUUCACGAGGCCAUGCUCUGCCUGAGCGGGUUCCAUGUUGUCAAUAUAGACCUCACGAGAGCUAGAUAAUUCUGUGUAUUGUGACCCAAAUCAUAACUGACUGUGUUAAAAGGCAAAUGUGCAAAUAAUGAAAAAAAUUCUGAACAUAAUACAAUUGCUCAGACGAACUGAGAAAAUCUGGCAUUACAAAAAUUAAA